CCUACGGGUGGCAGCAGUGAGGAAUAUUGGUCAAUGGACGAGAGUCUGAACCAGCCAAGUAGCGUUAAGGAUGACUGCCCUAUGGGUUGUAAACUUCUUUUAUAAAGGAAUAAAACGAGGCACGUGUGCCUUUUUGCAUGUACUUUAUGAAUAAGGAUCGGCUAACUCCGUGCCAGCAGCCGCGGUAAUACGGAGGAUCCGAGCGUUAUCCGGAUUUAUUGGGUUUAAAGGGAGCGUAGAUGGGUUGUUAAGUCAGUUGUGAAAGGUUGCGGCUCAACCGUAAAAUUGCAAUUGAUACUGGCAGUCUUGAGUACAGUUGAGGUAGGCGGAAUUCGUGGUGUAGCGGUGAAAUGCUUAGAUAUCACGAAGAACCCCGAUUGCGAAGGCAGCUUACUAAACUGUGACUGACAUUGAUGCUCGAAAGUGUGGGUAUCAAACAGGAUUAGAUACCCCGGUAGUC
rnacentral:rRNA from 1 species